rnacentral:rRNA from 1 species
CCCGCACAAGCAGCGGAGCGUGUGGUUUAAUUCGAUGCAACGCGAAGAACCUUUACCAGGGCUUGACAUGCUUGAAGUAGAAACUCGAAAGAGGGACGACCUGUAUCCAAUCAGGAGCUUGCACAGGUGCUGCAUGGCUGUCGUCAGCUCGUGCCGUGAGGUGUUAGGUUAAGUCCUGCAACGAGCGCAACCCUCGUCGCUAGUUAAUUUUUCUAGCGAUACUGCCCGUAUAACGCGGAGGAAGGUGGGGAUGACGUCAAGUCAGCAUGGCCCUUACGUCCUGGGCUACACACACGCUACAAUGGGUGAUACAAAAGGUUGCAAUAGAGUGAUCUGGAGCUAAUCCUGAAAAUCAUCCUCAGUUCGGAUUGUAGGCUGAAACUGCCUGCAUGAAGUUGGAGUUGCUAGUAACCGCAGGUCAGCACACUGCGGUGAAUACGUUCUCGGGCCUU